UACAGAGGGGGCAAGCGUUGUUCGGAAUUACUGGGCGUAAAGGGCGCGUAGGCGGCCCGCUAAGUCGAACGUGAAAUCCCCGGGCUCAACCCGGGAACUGCGUCCGAUACUGGUGGGCUCGAAUCCGGGAGAGGGAUGCGGAAUUCCAGGUGUAGCGGUGAAAUGCGUAGAUAUCUGGAGGAACACCGGUGGCGAAGGCGGCAUCCUGGACCAACACUGACACUGAGGAGCGAAAGCCAGGGGAGCAAACGGG
rnacentral:rRNA from 1 species